rnacentral:tRNA from 1 species
GCGGAUGGGCCUACUGGUGGGCCUACCAACGCGGGUACGGUGCGCUAAGAUCGCCUAGUGCUAGGCGUUUCCCAAAGAAGAGCACCAGAUCGUGGUUCUGGGGGUCGCCGGUUCGAAUCCGGUCAUCCACCCCA